UGGCUCAGGAUGAACGCUGGCGGCGUGCUUAACACAUGCAAGUCGAACGAUCCUUCGGGAUAGUGGCGGACGGGUGAGUAACGCGUGGGAAUCUGCCCUCAGGAGGGGGAUAACGGCUGGAAACGGCCGCUAAUACCCCAUAUGCCGAGAGGUGAAAUGAAUUUCGCCUGAGGAUGAGCCCGCGUCUGAUUAGCUAGUUGGUGGGGUAAAGGCCUACCAAGGCAACGAUCAGUAGCUGGUCUGAGAGGAUGAUCAGCCACACUGGGACUGAGACACGGCCCAGACUCCUACGGGAGGCAGCAGUGGGGAAUUUUCCGCAAUGGGCGAAAGCCUGACGAGCAACGCCGCGUGAGGGAUGAAGGCCUCUGGGCUGUAAACCUCCUUUCUCAAGGAAGAAGACCUGACGGUACUUGAGGAAUAAGCCACGGCUAAUUCCGUGCCAGCAGCCGCGGUAAUACGGGAGUGGCAAGCGUUAUCCGGAAUUAUUGGGCGUAAAGCGUCCGCAGGCGGCCUUGUAAGUCUGUUGUUAAAGCGUGGAGCUCAACUCCAUUUAAGCAAUGGAAACUACAAGGCUGGAGUGUGGUAGGGGCAGAGGGAAUUCCCGGUGUAGCGGUGAAAUGCGUAGAUAUCGGGAAGAACACCAGUGGCGAAGGCGCUCUGCUGGGCCAUAACUGACGCUCAUGGACGAAAGCCAGGGGAGCGAAAGGGAUUAGAUACCCCUGUAGUCCUGGCCGUAAACGAUGAACACUAGGUGUCGGGGGAAUCGACCCCCUCGGUGUCGUAGCCAACGCGUUAAGUGUUCCGCCUGGGGAGUACGCACGCAAGUGUGAAACUCAAAGGAAUUGACGGGGGCCCGCACAAGCGGUGAGUAUGUGGUUUAAUUCGAUGCAACGCGAAGAACCUUACCAGGGUUUGACAUCCUGCGAACCCCUGAGAAAUCGGGGGGUGCCUUCGGGAGCGCAGAGACAGGUGGUGCAUGGCUGUCGUCAGCUCGUGUCGUGAGAUGUUGGGUUAAGUCCCGCAACGAGCGCAACCCACGUCUUUAGUUGCCAGCAUUCAGUUGGGCACUCUAGAGAGACCGCCGGUGAUAAACCGGAGGAAGGUGUGGAUGACGUCAAGUCAUCAUGCCCCUUACAUCCUGGGCUACACACGUACUACAAUGCUACGGACAAAGGGCAGCAAGCUCGCGAGAGUUAGCAAAUCCCAUAAACCGUGGCUCAGUUCAGAUCGUAGGCUGCAACUCGCCUACGUGAAGGAGGAAUCGCUAGUAAUCGCAGGUCAGCAUACUGCGGUGAAUACGUUCCCGGGCCUUGUAC
rnacentral:rRNA from 1 species